GACGAACGCUGGCGGCGUGCUUAACACAUGCAAGUCGAACGAAAAGAGGGAAAGAGCUUGCUCUUUCCGGAAUUGAGUGGCAAACGGGUGAGUAACACGUAAACAACCUGCCUUCAGGAUGGGGACAACAGACGGAAACGACUGCUAAUACCGAAUAAGUUCCAAGGGCCGCAUGGCCCAUGGAAGAAAAGGUGGCCUCUACCUGUAAGCUAUCGCCUGAAGAGGGGUUUUCGUCUGAUUAGCUGGUUGGAGGGGUAACGGCCCACCAAGGCGACGAUCAGUAGCCGGUCUGAGAGGAUGAACGGCCACACUGGAACUGAGACACGGUCCAGACUCCUACGGGAGGCAGCAGUGGGGAAUCUUCCGCAAUGGGCGAAAGCCUGACGGAGCAACGCCGCGUGAGUGAUGACGGCCUUCGGGUUGUAAAACUCUGUGAUCCGGGACGAAAAGGCAGAGUGCGAAGAACAAACUGCAUUGACGGUACCGGAAAAGCAAGCCACGGCUAACUACGUG
rnacentral:rRNA from 1 species